rnacentral:tRNA from 1 species
UCCGGCGUGGCCCAAUGGUAGGGCGGCUCCCUGUUAAGGAGACGAGUGAUGGUUCGAGUCCAUCCGCCGGAG